rnacentral:rRNA from 1 species
AAACGAACGCUGGCGGCAGGCUUAACACAUGCAAGUCGAACGCGUGUAGCAAUACACGAGUGGCGCACGGGUGAGUAACGCGUGGAUAUCUGCCUUUUGGUUCGGAAUAACCCCGGGAAACUGGGGCUAAUACCGGAUGGUUCCUACGGGAUAAAGAUUUAUCGCCAAAAGAUGAGUCCGCGUACGAUUAGCUAGUUGGUGAGGUAAUGGCUCACCAAGGCGACGAUCGUUAGCUGGUCUGAGAGGACGAUCAGCCACACUGGGACUGAGACACGGCCCAGACUCCUACGGGAGGCAGCAGUGGGGAAUAUUGGACAAUGGGGGCAACCCUGAUCCAGCCAUGCCGCGUGAGUGAUGAAGGCCUUCGGGUUGUAAAGCUCUUUUGGCGGGGACGAUGAUGACGGUACCCGCAGAAUAAGCCCCGGCUAACUUCGUGCCAGCAGCCGCGGUAAGACGAAGGGGGCUAGCGUUGUUCGGAAUUACUGGGCGUAAAGCGAGUGUAGGCGGUUGUCCAAGUUGGAUGUGAAAGCCUUGAGCUCAACUCAAGAAAUGCAUUCAGGACUGGGUAACUAGAGGACCGGAGAGGAUAGUGGAAUUCCCAGUGUAGUGGUGAAAUACGUAGAGAUUGGGAAGAACACCAGUGGCGAAGGCGGCUAUCUGGACGGUUAC